GUUGAUUAGAUACCCUGGUAGUCCACGCUGUAAACGAUGAAUACUAGGUGUGGGAGGACUGACCCCUUCCGUGCCGCAGUUAACACAAUAAGUAUUCCACCUGGGGAGUACGGCCGCAAGGCUGAAACUCAAAGGAAUUGACGGGGGCCCGCACAAGCAGUGGAUUAUGUGGUUUAAUUCGACGCAACGCGAAGAACCUUACCAGGACUUGACAUCCAACUAACGAAGUAGAGAUACAUUAGGUGCCCUUCGGGGAAAGUUGAGACAGGUGGUGCACGGUCGUCGACAACU
rnacentral:rRNA from 1 species